UGCGAACGCUGGCGGCAGGCCUAACACAUGCAAGUCGAACGGACCCUUCGGGGUUAGUGGCGGACGGGUGAGUAACACGUGGGAACGUGCCUUUAGGUUCGGAAUAGCUCCUGGAAACGGGUGGUAAUGCCGAAUGUGCCCUCCGGGGGAAAGAUUUAUCGCCUUUAGAGCGGCCCGCGUCUGAUUAGCUUGUUGGUGGGGUAAUGGCCCACCAAGGCUACGAUCAGUAGCUGGUCUGAGAGGAUGACCAGCCACAUUGGGACUGAGACACGGCCCAAACUCCUACGGGAGGCAGCAGUGGGGAAUCUUGCGCAAUGGGCGAAAGCCUGACGCAGCCAUGCCGCGUGUAUGAUGAAGGUCUUAGGAUUGUAAAAUACUUUCACCGGUGAAGAUAAUGACUGUAGCCGGAGAAGAAGCCCCGGCUAACUUCGUGCCAGCAGCCGCGGUAAUACGAAGGGGGCUAGCGUUGCUCGGAAUUACUGGGCGUAAAGGGAGCGUAGGCGGACAUUUAAGUC
rnacentral:rRNA from 1 species